AGGCCAAUGGCGGCCAACGCCACUUCCGGCCGCCCUCCGAGCAUCGCUCUUCGGCAACCCGAAGCCACAGGAUGGAGGAGGGGGAUCCCAGCAAAGGUAGCGACUAAGGGGACCCAAGCAGAACGGGAGGGCGACGUCCGGAGCGGCGGCAGAGCCAGGGGACGCUGUGUGAGGCUGGCAAAGCGGUGUUCACCUAGUUCUCUCGGGCUCCGCCGCCGCCGGAGGAGGACAGGAGGCCGGCAAGGCGACCCCCAAAUCUUCCUAGGCUCUGACUUCCGUCUCCUAACCCCCGCAAAUUCCAACCCGGUCUUGGAAAAUCCCGCGAGAACGGGCUCCCGAAUUGUCAUUGGGAUCUCGCGAGAACGAAAUCUUCCUUUCUGUGGGCGGAGCAAUCUUCCCGAUGUCUCUUCCCUCUGAGGCCAGUAGCAGGAAGGGCCUCGGGAGUUGCGAGUGUCGCGAGGUUUGAGGUCGCUCGGUGGGCCGGGCGCUGUGCGAAGCUAGAAAUAACUGGGGGCAUGGAGAAUGCGGUGGCUGUAAAGGGCCGCUGAGGCGGUGGAGGCCUGGCAGAGAGCGUCCCCGCGGUCGCGGCUUCUGGCUUCUCUGUGGAGCUUGGUUCUUCCGUGGUGGUGCAGCACCCCAGGAACUUCAGGAACCAGUCCUUCCUUGGAGAGCUCCCCGGGACAGCCACGGGGGCCAAGUGAAACUAGCGCGUUUUCUUGGAUCCUACACUUUAUAGUGAGUCAUAAAUACUUUAAAUACAAAGCCAACAACAUUUGCUGCAAAUAAACGUAAAAAUACUGUUAAAGUGUAAAGUGUUUUCCUCCGUACCAUCUGACGUUUCUGGCGGUUCGUUGAACGCGAGAGAACGCUGAGCCGUCUGCACUGAGCCCGGGAGCAUCUUCAGGGCAGCGCCGCCCACGCGCGAGGUGAAUGAAGGACACGGCCUCUUGACACUCCCAGGCAGCACAGAUAGACGGAUCCAUCCCAGUUUCUGACCUGUAGCAUAGUCCCUCUCUCUGAAGAACUUCCUGUAAUAUUUUUUGCUAGGAAGAGUUUGAAGUUUGAAAUCCCAGAAUGAGGAAAUUCAUCCAGCUUGGAGACUUCCAAUCCCUUCAUUGUGCAGAAGGUUGCUAAUGCUCUCAGGAGAAGCCCUUCACCAAGAGAAUACUUCCACAUAGAGUCCUCUCCAUUGAGACUAAGGAAACAUGCUAUGUCAUGUAGCCACAGCAGCCUUUGCAGCUGUUGAAGGCAGCAAGACUUGCAUGGCAAUCAGAAGACACAGAACCAAGACUCAUAUCCAGUUAUAAGAUGGCAGAUGGGACACACACUCAUCAGGCUUAGUGAGCAGCCAAUCCAGAGGGAACCAUACUCAGCCCUAGGGGCUGGGCGCGGUGGCUCUCGCCUGUAAUCCCAGCACUUUGGGAGGCCAAGGCGGAUGGAUCACCUGAGGUCACGAGUUCAAGACCAGCCUGACCAACAUGGAGAAAUCCCAUCUCUACUAAAAAUACAAAAUUAGCUGGGCAUGGUGGUGCAUGCCUGUAAUCCCAGUUACUCGGGAGGCUGAGGCAGGAGAAUCACUCGAACCCGAGAGGCAGAGGUUGUGGUGAGCUGAGAUUGUGCCAUUGCACUCCAGUCUGGGCAACAAGAG
ensembl:lncRNA ERCC6L2-AS1 ERCC6L2 antisense RNA 1